AGUAUGACAGAGGAAAGUCAGGCCAGGGAUGUGAAGCAGAAACCAUGGAGGAGUGCUGCUUGAAGGAACCGGGACUUCAUUAUUGGUGAGAGCCAAGUCCAUGUGACUUUCUAAAGGGAUCUGAGCAGUCUGAGACCCGUGAGGUCCAAAGCAGCCCCCUAAAGGGGCAGAGCUGGCGACCAUGUCCCAAGCAGAAGGACUCUGGCUGGGAAACAGAAGCCUAAAGGCGUUUUUUCUCUUUACCAGAAAGCAGAUCUCAUAAGGUAGGUUUCUGUUUACCAGGAACCUUCCUUCAUCUGCCCUUAAAGGUCCAACUACCUUGGGCAAGGGCGUCUAGUUCUGGGUCAACCAGAACGGUUUGCAUCAGCUCAAAAACCCCACCCUGUGGGCCGCCGUAUAAAGUCUUCCAUCUUGCUUUUCUGCCAUCUUGCUUUUCUCUGCUCCCCUCCCCCAUCGUCUUGGCAGUCCCAUCCCCAGUAAACUUUUCUUUCUACCCAUGGCUUCACUUCGUCCUCACUUACACUUCCUUUCAUACAUCAUUUUAUUUCCUUGCAGUCUGAGGUUGUAACCAUAUUUGUGCUUUUGGGAAUCUGAGGUUUUUGAUUGAUGACUAAUUUUGCAAAUAACUUUAGGCAUAGUUUUGCAUGAGUGACUGGGCAUGAAAUCUUGUACAUUGGAACAAACGUAUAUCUCCUGUGAUUUUUUAACUGCUUAUUUAUUUACCUCUAUGUGCAAACACCCACAUGGAAGUCAGAGGAUCCCUCAUGGGAGUCGGUUCUCAAUCUACCAAGCCUGUAAAGCUGAGCAUCUUACUGGCCCCAUGCUCUUCAUUUUAUUUAUUGGAGCUGAGAAAGAUAUAAGCUUUCUUAAUAAACAUGUGUCGUUUCCAAGCCAGGAUAUUGAAAUACUUUCCUUGUGGGACUAGAACACUCAGUGGGCCGAGAGUCCAAAUCUGUUCACU